CUAGCCUAGGAAUUUCCAUAUGCCACGGAUGCAGCCCUAAAAAAGAUAAAGAAAAAAAAAAAGGUUAGAAUUAUGGCAAUCUAGAGUUCACAAUAAACGUAAUCCAUACCCUGCACAGUUGAAGAAUAAUUUAAAAGCUGGUUUUCCUGAGGAUGUAAAAAAGUAUCCUGAUCAAAGAGGAACUGAUUUCUGAGAUUAGAGCUGUUAGAGUUAAAUUGUGAGGUGGUUUUGUUUUAUUUUGUUUCCUCUUGGCUGCCCAGCAGCAUAUGGAGCUCCCUUGCCAGAGAUCAAAUCUGAGCCACGGUUGUGACCUACAACACAGCUGCAGCAGCGCCUGACCCUGUGACCCCCAGUACCGGGCAGAGAGCAAACCUAGGUCCCAGGGCUUCAGAGACACUGCUGAUCCCAUGCACCAUAACUGAACUUGCCUGGACUUUUUAGGUAGAUGUUUGGUGUUGUUCGCUGAUUUCCGGCCGCUGUUGAUACAUCUAUAACUUUGGCGACGAAGAGCCCCAAAGCAGCGUUUCCUCUCAUCUCUUCGCUGGCCACGUUGCAGUGUGGCGUUCAGGGGCCCACGUGUGAUUGCCCCACUGGCCGAGGUCUCUGGCCCAUUUCGACCCCUCGGAGAUGUCACAUGCCGAGGGCCAAAGCUCCCUUUGGCAAGGGUCACUCUAGGAUGGCUGAUGGACGGGGUGAGCCACCAGCUGGGAUCGCCCCCAACAGGAGGCACUCCCAGGACCCAGGACUUUAUGUUUUGAAGAUGGAAAGGUCCCCAGCACAGCAGGAGGACACAGCUGUCCUAACUCGACGCCCAAUCGGCAAGUGCGGUGUCUGGUCAGGAAUCCAACUGGGAAAUGGAAGGCAAGUGCUCCCUUCCGGCCCGCACCCUCCCACCUGUUCACCUCCCUUCUGGCCCGCGCCCUCCCACCCGUUCGUCUGUCCUAAGGAGUCUCUCCGAGAUCCUCUUCCACUCUCGGCUUUCACGAGGGAAGGGGCAAAGGCGAAGGCCCUCAUCACAGACCCCACACGUCUCCCGGGAUGGAUGAGAGCUCCUCCUCCCCAGAGGGAGGGGGGCUGGUGGUAGGGCUGGUUCUGCGACGGGUUUGGGCUCUUGCGAGCAGAAGUUGAGGACAUUUAUGGGUUGACUUUUGAUCUGUCUGCUUGUGCCAAGUUCCGGGGCUUCCACAGCCGACACUUUAGGUCCAAGAAGAGCUAAACCCCAUGUUGGAGCAUUUCAUUAAAUGGACAGGCAACACGGGACGAUGAACCCCAAUUUCCUGGUACCAUUGAGCUACCAUAGCAGGGUGCUCUUCAGCCAGCUGCCAGCUGCCCUUGCCUGCAUAGCUGCCUGUCCCAAGCCCAGCAUCUGGCUUCAUCUACCCUCUGCGUAUUUCUCUCUGACGAGGCCUGUCUUCAUUGCUCAUGAGCUCCCUUCUGGCUGGAAAGCCACCUUUGUCUGUACCACCUUUGUCUGUGUGAUCACCCUUGGGCCACAUUUUGCUCUGGGGUAGCACUUUCACCACGAUUCCCAGCUGGCAACACGCUGCUUCACACCUGCCGCCACUUCCCUCCACCUGGCUGCCUCCUCCCCCUUCUCCCCAUCCUCUUCCCGUUCUCCGUCUACUCCGGCCCAUCCUCCACGCCUCACACCGCAGCAGGCAUCCCUGAUCCUUCAGACGGGCUUCAGCCCAGGCCUCUGGGCCCCGCUGCCUCUCACACGCUGGGCAGGUCACCUGAGAUCCUCUCUGUCCCCGUGUCCCUCUCCACUGAUGAUCUGCUGCCUGUAGCGGAGCAUCUCAUACUCUGUGGACACCUCUGUAAGUGUUUAACCAAAUGAUCCUCAUUGGAAAGCAAGGGGUUUGCUAUUAACGUGCUUUUUUUCCUUUUUUAAAUUAAAAUGUAGUUGGCCAGUUUCUCCUGUAGAGCAGAACGACCCAGUCAUAUACACAUUCUUUAUGACAAAGAAUAUAAAAUUCUUUUCCAUCAUGGUCUCUGCCAGGAGAUUGGAUAGAGUUCCCUGUGCUCUACGAGAGUUCCCUGUGCUGUUGGCUUAGGGUUUAUCACGGAUAAAGUCUUUCUUAGGAAAAGCAUAAGUAAGAAACGCAACUGAUGCACCAAGAGCUGUCCUGUCCUGUUCUUUGACGGCUUAGUGAGGUAGUGGAGUAAUUCCGCAUUUUGCAAAUAAGGAAACUAAAGCUCAAGGAAGGAAAGUAGGUAGCUCACGAGUGCCUGAGCCUGAGACGAAUGGAGAGCUGUCUGGCUCCAAAGUCUAGGAUCCUUUGACUGAAAAAAUAAGGGGAGGGAGGGAGAGAGAACAGAAAGAAAGGAGAGAAGAAGGAGGGAGGGAGGGAGAAAGGAGGGGAGAGGAAAAGAAAAGAGGAGAGGAGAAGAGAAGAGAAAAAGAUAUAUACCUGUGUGUUUUGCCCCUGCUGGGUUUUGGAGACCAAAACCCCCAGGGACUGGGAAGGAGCGCCACCUGCUGGCAGAACUGGAGCUCUGCAGGCGAUCCCUGGAAGUCUCAGUCUCCGGGGCUGUGGAGGUGUCUUCCUCACACACUCACAUUCAAGCCCGGAUUGGAUGAGAGCCAUGAGCCUGGUACUAGUGCUCCCUCCAGAUACCCGGACAUACUUCUAAACAUGGAACCAAAGCUUAGCCUAGCCUGGUCGGCCCACUCCUCCCCUCAAACGCAACCGCCGUUGAAUGACUUCUAGUUCUACAAGACGUGGCUAACAAGCCAAUGUCGCGCUGACAUUGUCCAGCUCCAGUCCAGUUUGGUUUCCUGCCAUCCUGGCAAAGGCAGCUGCUAGAUGUUGGCAGGACCUCCAUACUUGGUCCCACACAGGUCAAGCUCAGCUAGUAGAGAGUUAACGGCUUAUUGAAAUGAUUCCUUUUCUGUAGUAGUUGGAUUGGUAAAUGCUCAUGUGGUUUCCGGUCACCACUGUUUGCUUGCAAAAUGCCAAAUAUUGUCCUUCGUUAAGUGCAUAAUGAAAGAAGAGAGCAUUGUGCAAACUUGAGAGUCGAAUCCAUAAGGAAUCAGUGGUUCAAUGGUCGGGCCCUGACUUGAGACUACCUGGCCCCAUCAUUGACUCCCUGGGCAAUUUGGGUCACGUUCCCGAGGCCAUCCAGCCUGUUUCCUUGUGUGUAAUAGAUGACUAAUAGAGCACCUACCUGCUAAUCACAAUGAUUAAGUCGGAUAACAACCAGAAAGCCUGUCAUUAACCAUAUUCUUGGCUCCCGGUAAGCGCUCAAUACAUGUCUGCAGAAGCCUGACCACGAGCUUCACCUGACAUUUGAACAAGUCAUGGCAAUUCAGACACUUAAAGUUUUUCCUCUGGAAACAUCAUUAUGACGACACAGCACCAAAACGGUACUGCGGGCCAGCGGUCCCAAGUUGAUUUUUUUCACUGCCAGGUGCUUUUCAUUCGCUGCGAUUUAAUUUAAUGAAUCUAUGGGAGUUAAGUGGAGGGAAGGGAGGGAAGCAUUUCAAGCUGCAUGUAAUAAAGUGGAUAAAUAAUAAACAUUACCUUUAGCCACAUGUGGCUUGAGAGCAGUGAAUUCCGGCACAGAAUAUCAAAUUGUAAGGCCUAAGAGAAACUUACAUAAAGAAAAGCUGACUCCCCUUGGUUCAUAUAUUAAAAAUAAAUGGGAGUUCCCGUCGUGGCACAGUGGUUAAUGAAUCCGACUAGGAG